GCCGAGGUAGCUCAGUGGUAGAGCAGCGGACUGCAGUUCCGAAGGUCACCAGUUCAAACCUGGUUCUCGGCU